AAACGUGAACGUCCUUCCAGGCGACCGACGCGUUUAUUUUUCGGGGGCAAACCAGAAGUGAGUCAACUGUCCUUUUAGCUGCUGAUGGAUGCAGGUGUCGUUGUCACGAAUGACGUGACAAACAAUUGUCUUCAGAAGUCGGCAAGUGUCAUGUGACCUCACAUGUCAUCAGGAGGCUGACGCAGCUCGCAAGCAGCGUCACGGCCGACAUGGCGGCGAGCGGCGUGGCUGUCGAACCGGCAGGAUCGUUCUGUGUCUGCGGAGGCGGGGGUGCUUCUGAGUCCGGCUCUUUACACUUGAGACUGCACACACACACACACACACACACACACAAACAGAAGAGAAGCAAACACUCCAUCACGUGUGUCGAUGAUGUCAUGGCGGUGUCGGAACAAAAAUGAGCGAGUGUUCUAUUUUGGGAGCAAAUGUUGUAGCUGACGUGUGAAAACCUUCCGGAAUGUUCUGUGAUAGACGUCGGUCAUUAGCAGCUUGGGGCCUCCAAAUGUAGCUUUGACAUGUUUCCCCAGCAAGACGUCACACAGUUGUGUUGGCAGUGGAGGGCAGCAUGUUAGCUUUAGCAUUCAGCUAGGAAACUUAUUAAAUGUCAGGUGAGACCCUUCUAGACUUAAUGAGGCUACUAGCAUUACUGUUAGCUGUGUUUGGAUGAGCCGGGGGAGUUUCGAUGGCAAUGAGAUCAACCCUCCUGCCCCGUGGCGUAGCCAAGCUAAGCUAAGCUUGUGUUCUGGGCGUUACUCACAGUUGUUUGUGCAGGAACUUCUGGUUGGCCUCGCAGGCGCGUGUCUGCGUCUGCGCUGCCGUGGCGUGGUUGUCGGCGGCCGCCUUCAGGCUGACACACGCCUCCAUGCGAUGGUCUGCUUGAGUCAGGUUGUGCUGCAGCACCUCCACCUGGUCUGAGGACACAUGGCAAGCAUGUUUGUUUGUCUGCCUGGCUUGAAGCUGCCUUCCUGCCUGAUGACUAGCCCCGCCCCCAACACCUUAUCGUUUGACUCAUUGUCUUCUUUCCCCCAUCUGUGCCCAACAGGAAGUUUCCUUCAUUAACCUCUUUGUUUUCCCCAUCAGGCCUCUGCAGGAUGUUCAAAGCACGGUCAUGCCCCUCCCACCCGCCACAGCCUGCCAGCACCAACAGGAAGUCAUCAGCCCUCCUAAAACACACCUGUCUCUUAAGCUCCACCCUCCCAAAUUGUUAUUUCUAUUUUUCCUCAUGUGGCGGCCAUGUUACCUUCUUGAUGCCGCAGCUGAGCCGUCAGGUUGACCUGUGCCCGCCACAGAUGCUCUGCCUCCUCUUGCAGCGUGCUGAUGUUGGCCUGCAUGACCGCCUGUACCACACGCAUACACACACACACACACACACACACACACACAGAGUUUAAAAUGUCAAUUAGCCUAGAAUUUGCCUGUUAGCAUUGAGCUACUGUACGUUGGUUCUUUUCUCUGCUGCACUGGAUUUAACUGACACUGGACUGAGUGGUUCUGGCUGGACUGGACUGGCAGCGGAGCGGUCCAAGUGGACAGUGAGUGAAAACACAUGGCGACUGGAUUGAAAACAGGUUUGUGCUUAUCGGUUACCAUGACGACAUGCAACAACACAUGUCAACCAAUCCCGUGAUCCUUUGCAGUGGCAUCGUAGCGAGCAGUAGCUCAGCGUGAUGCUGCGGUUGCAUUGUGGGAGCUGUAGGAACACUGGCUUCUUUAAUAGGAAGGAAACAUGAGUCACCAGAGGAAGGGAGAGGGCGUGAGUCACUGUGCGCGAGGAUGUGUGCUUGUAUGUCCGUGUGUGUGUGUGCGAGUGUGUGUGUGUGUGUGUGUACAAAUAGUCAGUUAUUCCUGCUGGAAAAGUUGUGUCGCUCCUCAGUUUAUUCACUCAGCCUUGGGGUGGAGGAGGAGGAGAGGGAGGGGGGCAUGCUGGGAUAAA